rnacentral:rRNA from 1 species
GACGAACGCUGGCGGCGUGCCUAAUACAUGCAAGUAGGACGCAGUUGCGAACGGGUGAGUAACGCGUAGGUAACUACCUAUUAGAGGGGGCUAACUAUUGGAAACGAUAGCUAAUACCGCAUACUAGUAGAUGGACCUGCGUUGUAUUCGCUAGUAGGUAGGGUACUGGCCUACCUAGGCAACGAUACAUAGCCGGCCUGGUAGGGUGAGCGGCCACACUGGGACUGGGACACGGCCCAGACGCCUACGGGAGGGAGCAGGAGGGAAGCAUCGGCAAUGGGGGGAAACCUGACCGAGCAACGCCGCGUGAGUGAAGAAGGUUUUCGGAUCGUAAAGCUCUGUUGUGAAGGAAGCGGUACUUAACCAGAAAGGGACGGCUAACUACGUGCCAGCCGCCGCGGUAAUUC